rnacentral:rRNA from 1 species
AUGGAGGCCGACAUGGACGCGAGCUUGGACUUCUUGGAGCUGGAGGCCCAUCUGGUGUUCGAUCUCGGAGACGCCGAUAGCAAACGUUGGAUGAGCCUGGCUGACUGCUGCAGCUCGUACCUGCCGGCCGAGGACUCGCUCUCCGGCCUCGACUCCUGCUACAACGACUCCACCGGCUCGCCGUCCACGGCGUCGGCGAGGGCCACCAGGGCCAGCAAGAACAUCGUUGAGGAGAGGGACCGGCGCAGGCGGCUCAACGAGAAGCUCUACGCCAUCCGCGGCGUCGUCCCAAACAUCACCAAGAUGGACAAGGCGUCCAUCAUCCAGGACGCCGUCGCAUACAUCGAGGAGCUGCAGGAGCAGGAGCGCCGGAUCCUCGCCGAGGUGUCCGACCUCGAGGCCGGCGGCUGCACCGCCGUGGUGGUCAAGUCGGAGGCCUCCACCGGUAGCGAGGGGGUGGAGGACGCCGGCGUUGGCUUCUCGCCGCCGAAGAAGACGAGGAGGACUGCCUCCUCCUCCAUCAACGACCCCGUCACUUCUCCUGCAACGCAUCCGGUCCUCCUUGAGCUGGAGGUGAUGCCCAUAGCGGAGAAGCUGGCGGUGGUGAGCAUGAGGCAUGACAACGCGCAACACGUCAUGGCGAAGAUGUACAAGGCGCUCGAUCCGCUCCGUCUCAAGGUCAUCACCUCAAGUGUCACCUUCGUGGACGGCCGCACAGUCCACACAAUGUUCAUCGAGAUGGAAGAAACGGAUAGUGUUGAGACGAUCAAGGAGAUGGUACAGGCUGCACUCAGCCAUCUCGAAUUCUUGAUGUGA